rnacentral:tRNA from 1 species
UUUAAUAUGGCAAAAAAGUGCAAUAGACUUAAACCCUAUAAAUAAAGAAAAAAUAUUCUCUUCUUUUAUUAAAA